rnacentral:rRNA from 12 species
GAAAACGAAAAAUUAAUUUGCGAGAAACUUAAGUAAAUGACCUGGUUAGAACUUGGAUGGGAGAUCACCUUGGAAGACCAGGCCCGUUAGCC